CUGGCAGAUUUAUUAAGAAAUAAUGGGCCAGAUACUAUUGUGACACGAGACAUCAAUAACUCUCAAGGUUGGACUUUGUGUUAUGUUUGAUGUUAGUCUCCAGGCAUGUAAUUGUAUUCAGAGCAGGUUAUGCCUCCUGUUAAGUAGACAGGCUAUUAAGUACUAUAUGCUGAUUGGUCAGGAGCCCCGCCUCCCCACAGCGCUACGGCAACAGUGAGUUACAGCUCAUUGGGCUCUACUCUGUAUUCAAGGGACACCACAAGCUUACAUCCAACAAUCAAGAGCCAUUAUUUCUCAUUUAACAAUAACCCAACAAUUUCUUGCUCAUGCUGUCAUGGUAUUUAUAGUAAGUUUGAAGUUUUUCUUUCUUAAAGCACAGCACCAUCCCGAUCCAUGACCUCAUUGCUACUGGCAGAUGGUUUCUGCUAAAGCAAAGGCACAUUACUGAGAAGAGCCUGACUCAGCAUAAUAGCUGAGAUACAACAACAUCUUUGAAUGCUCACAACUAAUAUUUAAUGUAGAAGAUACAUCAGUUGACCACAAGUGUCUAAAUUAAACACAGAGCAGCUAAGGAGUGUGAUCUGGAUUUUAAGGAUCAUGGUUUAAUGCUUAUGGGCUGUAUGUGGUCCCUAUCACAUUGACAGCAGUUUGACUGGUGUGCUGUGUCAAGCGUCAGUGCUCUCAGACAGAUGGCCAUGCGCUUAUUGGUGGUGAACCGUAACCCGGAGACCGUCAGCACGGACUUUGAUGAGCGUGACCGUCUGUACAUCGAGGAUUUAACCCUAGAGCGCAUCCUGGACAUCACACAGCAGGAGAAGACAUAACCCCUCAUUGUAUGGAUAGUGGAUGGAUGCUUCAAAAACUUUGUCACUAUGUAUUGUAUUACAAAUGUAGAAAGAGCUAUUUUUCAAUAAUUUCAACUGUGUUUGGCUGAAGAAAGAAAGGCACACAGCAAACAC